GCUAGCCCGGUCGCAGUUCUAGAUCCCACAUGGAUUUGAGCUGUGGUUUAAGGCACUUCGUUCGAGUCGAAGUCGCCGAUGAAGUUUAACUGAGGCAAACCAGCUAUGCAAUGCUGACGAGUCAUAAUAAGGACGAAACAGCUGUCCAUGGUUGCCGAACUGCACGGGUAAUAGACUGUGCUAGCGUCCCGUCUUGGCCCGACUGGUGCCAAUGUGUGUAUGAACACGGAGCGAAGCAAACAACUUAUUUACGUAUUUCAUAAUUUUUCGUGGUCUAAAAUUCAGAACUAUCAGUUUUCGAAGCAAGGUAAGUAAUCUGGUAUCUCUUAUUUUUGUUUCAUUUAUAUAACAGAUUACUAUGCGCCGAUGACAGCCUUGCAGACUUUCCACCUCGCAGGCUAAUAAUAGUUUGCUUGGCUCCGUGUUCAGACGAGCGUACCUAAUUGUCCAACGGCGCCGGUCAAGGAUUCAAAUCGCUGCUUACUCGUUUUAAAAAAUGGCUAGCGGCCAGGGAAAAUGAUUUAGCUCGGAUGUUUUGCCACAUAUCGAAUGUAAGUGUACCCUGGCAUAGGUCUGCGAGAUAAAAAUAUUUCGUUUGUUGUAUUUUCCUCGCGAAUUUCGACGGUAUUUGAGUGCUACCGAAAAUAGCGCCUCCAACCUUGUUUCUUUUCUUAGUAGGGGGAGAGAAGUCAUAUAUCCCGUUACGAAAACCCCCCAAAAUCGUAUAUUACACAUAAAUAUGAAAACAACAAGGCAUUUUCUAAGUUUUAAGGCAAUUCUAUUGGCAAUUUUUCACCAAAAAUCGCGACUUCAAUCCACUCGUUUUACCUCUAAGUAUAACAGCCGAUUCCAAGCUACGAACAAGCUUCGAAACCAUUGCCUGGGCUACCUGUGCUUCCAAUACAAGAGACUACUGCAAGCUAUGUGCAUAAGGAAGGAAAAGGUGUCAUGGCAGUUGGUUGCACACUGUAUCAACGGAUAAGGGCGCUAAAGGACAGGCAGAUCCCAUCACUGCUGGCUAAACUUUGCCAGAGGUAAUGUUGCUGCAAAUUUUCAUC